rnacentral:piRNA from 1 species
AGAAAUUUGAGGAUGAGAACUUCAU